rnacentral:rRNA from 1 species
UAGGGCAUUCCCUAGUACGGCGAGUGAGCGGGAAGAGCUCAAAUUUGAAAUCUGGUAGCCUUCGGUUGCCCGAGUUGUAAUCUAGAGAAGUGUUUUCCGUGCCGGCCCAUGUACAAGUCCCUUGGAACAGGGCGUCAUAGAGGGUGAGAAUCCCGUCCUUGACAUGGACCCCCGGUGCUUUGUGAUACACUUUCAACGAGUCGAGUUGUUUGGGAAUGCAGCUCAAAAUGGGUGGUGAAUUCCAUCUAAAGCUAAAUAUUGGCGAGAGACCGAUAGCGAACAAGUACCGUGAGGGAAAGAUGAAAAGCACUUUGGAAAGAGAGUUAAACAGUACGUGAAAUUGUUGAAAGGGAAACGAUUGAAGUCAGUCAUGCUCUUGGGACUUACCUCCCUUGAGUGGGGUCAACAUCAGUUUUGAUCGAUGGAUAAAGGCACGGGGAAGGUAGCACUCUCGGGUGAACUUAUAGCCUCGCGUCAUAUACAUUGAUUGGGACUGAGGAACGCAGCAUGCCUUAUGGCCGGGAUUCGUCCACGUACAUGCUUAGGAUGUUGACAUAAUGGCUUUAAACGACCCGUCUUGACCCACGGACCA